UACACACGCCGCCUCAAAGGAGAUGGU
rnacentral:sRNA from 1 species